AUUGAACGCUGGCGGCAGGCUUAACACAUGCAAGUCGAGCGGAGAUGAGGUGCUUGCACCUUAUCUUAGCGGCGGACGGGUGAGUAAUGCUUAGGAAUCUGCCUAUUAGUGGGGGACAACAUUCCGAAAGGAAUGCUAAUACCGCAUACGCCCUACGGGGGAAAGCAGGGGAUCUUCGGACCUUGCGCUAAGAGAUGAGCCUAAGUCGGAUUAGCUAGUUGGUGGGGUAAAGGCCUACCAAGGCGACGAUGUGUAGCGGGUCUGAGAGGAUGAUCCGCCACACUGGGACUGAGACACGGCCCAGACUCCUACGGGAGGCAGCAGUGAGGAAUAUUGGACAAUGGGCGGAAGCCUGAUCCAGCCAUGCCGCGUGUGUGAAGAAGGCCUUUUGGUUGUAAAGCACUUUAAGCGAGGAGGAGGCUACCUGGAUUAAUACUCUAGGAUAGUGGACGUUACUCGCAGAAUAAGCACCGGCUAACUCUGUGCCAGCCGCCGCCGUAAGAC
rnacentral:rRNA from 1 species